GACGUAGGGGGCGAGCGUUAUCCGGAUUCACUGGGCGUAAAGGGCGCGUAGGCGGUUCCGAAAGUCCGGCGUGAAAACCCACGGCUCAACCGUGGACCUGCGUCGGAAACUUCGGUGACUUGAGGGUGGUAGAGGCAACUGGAACAAGCGGUGUAGCGGUGAAAUGCGCAGAUAUCGCUUGGAACGCCGGUGGCGAAGGCGAGUUGCUGGGCCAUCCCUGACGCUGAGGCGCGAAAGCUAGGGGAGCGAACCGG
rnacentral:misc_RNA from 1 species